rnacentral:rRNA from 1 species
CAGCCGCCGCGGUAAAACGUAGGUGGCAAGCGUUGUCCGGAAUUAUUGGGCGUAAAGCGCGCGCAGGUGGUUUAAUAAGUCUGAUGUGAAAGCCCACGGCUCAACCGUGGAGGGUCAUUGGAAACUGUUAAACUUGAGUGCAGGAGAGAAAAGUGGAAUUCCUAGUGUAGCGGUGAAAUGCGUAGAGAUUAGGAGGAACACCAGUGGCGAAGGCGGCUUUUUGGCCUGUAACUGACACUGAGGCGCGAAAGCGUGGGGAGCAAACAGGAUUAGAUACCCCUGUAGUCCCUGUCUCUUAUAC